GUGCUCACUUUGGCAGUACAUGCUCUAACAUUGGAACAAGACAGAGAAGGUUACCACGGCAUCUGUGUAAGGAUGACACACAAAUCCAUGCAGUGCUCCAUAUUCCC